GUUAGGAAUAUUGGACAAUGGGCGAAAGCCUGAUCCAGCCAUGCCGCGUGAACGAUGAAGGCCUUCGGGUUGUAAAGUUCUUUAGCCGAUGAUUAUAAUGACUGUAGUCGGAAAAUAAGCCCCGGCUAACUUCGUGCCAGCAGCCGCGGUAAUACGAAGGGGGCGAGCGUUAUUCGGAAUCACUGGGCGUAAAGCGUGCGUAGGCGGUUUUGUAAGUUAGGAGUGAAAGCCCAGGGCCCAACCUUGGAAUUGCUCUUAAAACUGCAAGGCUCGAAUCUCGGAGAGGAUAGCGGAAUUUCCAGUGUAGCAGUGAAAUGCGUAGAUAUUGGAAGGAACACCAGUGGCGUAAGCGGCUAUCUGGACGAGUAUUGACGCUGAGGCACGAAAGCGUGGGGAUCAAACAGGAUUAGAUACCCCUGUAGUCC
rnacentral:rRNA from 1 species